GCUGUCCCCUCCUUUUCAACCAUUUCAUAUCACUGUUUGGUCUUGGAUUUAAAAAAAUAAUGAGACCUGGACAGAUUUGAUGCCAGAGGAAGGUUCAAAGAUACAAUUCCAUCAAUCGAUCCACCCAGAAAGUGCAGCAUUCACAUUCAAGGAAAGUUUACAUGUGAGCUACUUGAUAUGGAACACAUUGGCAGCAUCUACUGUGUGGUUCAUCACAGACUGGUGGAGUUGAAUUGCAUGUGAAGGGAAGUGUGAUCAGACACAAAACCAGGUACUUUGUCAUUUUUGCCAGCAAGAUUAAUAAAGAGAGAAGACACAUUACUGUACGGC